rnacentral:SRP_RNA from 1 species
AUCACCAACAAGCAGUCUGCAAGGAUCACAUGGACCAUGGCAAAGUCGUGGCAUCCAGGCAGCGAUUAUCCCAGGAAUCGGCUUAGGCUGGCAAGAGAGCAAGCAAAAUCUGGCUCUGCAUGCAGUGGUGGGAACAUAUGU